GUGCUCACUUUGGCAGCAUAUAUACUAAAAUUGGAAUGAUACAGAGAAGAUUAGCAAGGCCCUGUGCAAGGAUGACAUGCAUAUUCAAGAAGCAUUACAAAUAAUA